GAUGAUAGUACUACAAACCACAUCCGCCAGGGGACUACGAGCGCUAGCUUAAAACCCAAAGGACUUGGCGGUGCCUCAAACCCACCUAGAGGAGCCUGUUCUAUAAUCGACAACCCCCGUUAAACCUCACCGCCCCUUGUAAAACUCAGCCUAUAUACCGCCGUCGCCAGCUUACCCCCUGAGGGAAGAACAGUAAGCUAAAUGGUCACUCCCACAAACGUCAGGUCGAGGUGUAGCUAAUGGAGCGGGAAGAAAUGGGCUACAUUCUCUGGCACAGAACACCACGGAAAGUGCAAUGAAAACACACAACUGAAGGUGGAUUUAGCAGUAAAAGGGAAAUAGAGCGUUCC
rnacentral:rRNA from 1 species